CGACAUUGGUUCACAUUGACAGACGCCGUAAGAUAAAUGUUUUUUGAAAAUCAAAUUAAGUACUUUCAAAAUGUGUGAAAACGGCAGAAACUACAACUACUGAAAGGUUUUGAGUUGAAUUAGCGUCUUUUCUUAUCGGAACCAAAAACCUGCUUCGCGGUUUUCCCUACAAAGGCUUCCUCGACGGCAAGGCCACCCACUCACGCUAUAGACUCUCCAGGUUCCAAUAGCAUUAGAAAGAUCUGUCUCAGCGCCUCACAACCGGUGAAAAAAUUAUAAUGAAUGUCAGCAUAAAAUUCAGAUUCGAGUGACAUUCAACUUUUGAGUAUUGCAAUUUUUGUAAGGAUUUGCGUUAUUUUAUUUUGAUGCCUUUUGUUGUUCUCCUUUGUUUUAUUAUACAAUUAUACUUUGUUUAGUAAGAAAAUGAAAUGGUUAAUAAAGA